rnacentral:rRNA from 1 species
AGAUUGAACGCUGGCGGCAUGCCUAACACAUGCUAAGUCGAGCGGCAGCGCGGGGGCGACCCUGGCGGCGAGCGGCGGACGGGGUGAGUAAGGCACUCGGAAUCUGCCCCGUGAUGUGGGGGAUAACGUAGGGAAACUUACGCUAAUACCGCAUACGACCGAGAGGUGAAAGCGGGGGGACCGAAAAGGUCCUCGCGGCGAGCAGGAUGAGCCGAUGUCCGAUUAGCUGGUU